CCUACGGUGGCAGCAGUGGGGAAUAUUGCACAAUGGGGGAAACCCUGUUGCACCAACGCGGCUUGGGGGAUAAAGGCCUUCGGGCCGUAAAGCUCUUCCUUAGGGGAAGAAUAUUAACGGAACCUUAGGAGGAAGCCCCGGCAAACUACGUGCCAGAAGCCGCGGUAAUACGUAGGGGGCUAGCGUUAUCCGGAAUUACUGGGGGUAAAGGGUGCGUAGGCGGCCCUUCAAGGCAGAGGUGAAAGGCUACGGCUCAACCGUAGUAAGCCUUUGAAACUGUAGGGCUUGAGUGCAGGAGAGGAGAGUGGAAUUCCCAGUGUAGCGGUGAAAUGCGUAGAUAUUGGGAGGAACACCAGUUGCGAAGGCGGCUCUCUGGACUGUAACUGACGCUGAGGCACGAAAGCGUGGGGAGCGAACAGGAUUAGAUACCCGUGUAGUC
rnacentral:rRNA from 1 species